rnacentral:lncRNA from 1 species
UAUUUUUGGGUCAUUUUUUCAUAUGUGUCAUUUGGCUAGCAAUGUAAAGGCUUGAAUGUUAUGUCUAGUCAUUUUGUGUAUAGCCUUGAUAUAUGGCCUGUAUUGGUGUAGGAUGCUAUCCUACUAAUCAUGCAAUUUUUACUUGUUGAAAUGAUUACAUGGUGUAUUAUGAAUGGAUACGAUAAAUCUGACUAAUUCAUUUGAAAUUGGG